rnacentral:misc_RNA from 1 species
UCCGAGUUGACCCCGGCAGUCUUCGAUGAGUCCCCGGCAUCACCCGCUGGCAACACGCCACGGGGGUUGCGCUCGUUGCGGGACUUAACCCAACAUCUCACGACACGAGCUGACGACAGCCAUGCAGCAUCUGUGGUGCACCCUCGAAGGUCACACGUUUCCGUGCGCUUGCAGCACCAUGUCAAGCCCAGGUAAGGUUCUUCGCGUUGCAUCGAAUUAAAGAACAUGCUCCGCUGCUUGUGCGGGCCCCCGUCAAUUCUUUUGAGUUUUAGCCUUGCGGCCGUACUCCCCAGGCGGAACACUUAUCGCGUUAGCUGCGGCACGGAGUCCGUUGAAAGACCCCACACCUAGUACCCAACGUUUACGGCGUGGACUAC